rnacentral:rRNA from 1 species
GACGAACGCUGGCGGCGUGCUUAACACAUGCAAGUCGAACGGUAAGGCCCUUCGGGGUACACGAGUGGCGAACGGGUGAGUAACACGUGGGUGAUCUGCCCUGCACUUCGGGAUAAGCCUGGGAAACUGGGUCUAAUACCGGAUAGGACCACUGCCUGCAUGGGUGGUGGUGGAAAGCUUUUGCGGUGUGGGAUGGGCCCGCGGCCUAUCAGCUUGUUGGUGGGGUGAUGGCCUACCAAGGCGACGACGGGUAGCCGGCCUGAGAGGGCGACCGGCCACACUGGGACUGAGGUACGGCCCAGACGCCUACGGGAGGCAGUAGUGGGGAAUAUUGCCCAAUGGGCGCAAGCCUGAUGCAGCGAUGCCGCGUGAGGGAUGACGGCCUUCGGGUUGUAAACCUCUUUCAGCACCGACGAAGCGCAAGUGACGGUAGGUGCAGAAGAAGGACCGGCCAACUACGUGCCAGCCGCCGCAGUAA